rnacentral:rRNA from 1 species
CGGUAAUACGUAGGGGGCAAGCGUUGUCCGGAUUUACUGGGUGUAAAGGGCGCGCAGGUGGGUUGACAAGUCAGAGGUGAAAUCCUACAGCUUAACUGUAGAACUGCCUUUGAGACUGUCAAUCUUGAGUACGGAAGAGAGAGAUGGAAUUCCAGGUGUAGUGGUGAAAUACGUAGAUAUCUGGAAGAACACCAGUGGCGAAGGCGGUCUCUUGGUCCAAUACUGACACUAAGGCGCGAAAGUGUGGGGAGCGAACAGGAUUAGAUACCCUGGUAGUCCACACCGUAAACGUUGGGCGCUAGGUGUGGGAUCCAUUCCACGGGUUCCGUGCCGCAGCUAACGCAUUAAGCGCCCCGCCUGGGGAGUACGGCCGCAAGGCUAAA